UAAGAGAAAUGCCAAAAUAACGAAAUGUGUAGAAUGGCAAGAAUUGGUUAAUAACAAAUAACAACAAACCUAUAAACAGAAAGAUACAAAUUCAAUCGAUCUCCCAGAGACUGGCGACUAGCAAGUGGGGAGCAACUUCUGCUUUGCAUGUGGAGAAGUUCGAACUUGCAAAUGGGCGUCAACUCAGUUUGUGCUUGUGAGUCUGUUGCGGUUGGAGCUGAAAUUCUGCAUUCCUUUGUGGCAAUUGGCCACGAUUCAUUGUGUAUCAGGAUCGAACAGUCAAUCCAAUAUGCAGUUUACAGGCAUUCAAGAAAAUCUAAUAGGCACAUACGUGUUACUAAUAGGAAAUUCUUUGAUGGCGAUUGCGCGGAAUAGGUAAUCUUCACUUUAACAAAACCAAAACAAAAUAUGCAUUCGGACUAAGAGAGCUUGUCAUACCAGAUGCUGGUACAGCCACUCAGGUGCUAGAGCAGCCAACAAAGAGGGUGUACCUGUAGAGUCUGCUGAAACGGAUUCCAACACUUCAUAUAAAGCGACGAAACAUCCGUUUGCGAGUGAGCUGAAGUGAUAAGGCGUAAAACCUCGCGCCUGCUGGGUGUGAUUGCCACUAUGUUAAACCCCCUCCAAAUGAAAUAUAACAACAAGAUGAGACCCUCCUCAUUUUAUGACGACCACGGCAACCGUUUAAAGGAUUACCAUUUGAAUUUAUGCACCUGGAAUAUCCGGACCCUUAGUGGGCAAGGUGUAUCUGCCGGCUGGUUGGUGUCCUCUGGAAGACAAAGGCUGACAACAUAUCGAAUGAAUGAAGAGAAACGCUCCAGCUCUGAAAUUGGAAGUCUUUUUUUGCGAUGGAAAGAGCAGGUGGAUAAGGACUUGGCUUGAGGUGGCGCAGAAGAGCAACAACUUAUUUGCUUUUUUGAACUCGCCCAAAAUCGCUAAGGCAGAUACAGUGCC